UAGGGAAUCUUCCGGCAAUGGACGAAAGUCUGACCGAGCAACGCCGCGUGAGUGAAGAAGGUUUUCGGAUCGUAAAACUCUGUUGGUAGAGAAGAACGUUGGUGAGAGUGGAAAGCUCAUCAAGUGACGGUAACUACCCAGAAAGGGACGGCUAACUACGUGCCAGCAGCCGCGGUAAUACGUAGGUCCCGAGCGUUGUCCGGAUUUAUUGGGCGUAAAGCGAGCGCAGGUGGUUUAUUAAGUCUGGUGUAAAAGGCAGUGGCUCAACCAUUG
rnacentral:rRNA from 1 species